ACUAUAGCUUGACACUGAACACUGGUCCUUGAUGUGUAGGAUAGGUGGGAGGCUUUGAAGUGUGGACGCCAGUCUGCAUGGAGCCGUCCUUGAAAUACCACCCUUUAAUGGCUGGUGUUCUAACGUGGGCCCGUAAUCCGGGUUGCGGACAGUGUCUGGUGGGUAGUUUGACUGGGGCGGUCUCCUCCUAAAGAGUAACGGAGGAGCACGAAGGUCAGCU
rnacentral:rRNA from 1 species